rnacentral:rRNA from 1 species
UACGUAGGGGGCUAGCGUUGUCCGGAUUUAUUGGGCGUAAAGAGCGUGUAGGCGGCUUGGUAGGUCUGCUGUGAAAACUCGGGGCUCAACCCCGAGACGUCGGUGGAAACCACCUGGCUAGAGUCCGGAAGAGGAGAGUGGAAUUCCUGGUGUAGCGGUGAAAUGCGCAGAUAUCAGGAAGAAUAUCCGUGGCGAAGGCGGCGUCUCUGGUACGGCACUGACGCUGAGACGCGAAAGCGUGGGAGCGAACAGG